rfam:Natranaerobius thermophilus JW/NM-WN-LF, complete genome.
AUAAAAUCCGUCUGCUAACCGUAGACAGUAGGUGCCUUUACAGGCUUAAUAACCUACCGAGGUUAGAGAGCGACAUGGGUGAAAUGUAUUCAAUAUUAGCUUAUACUUAAGCUAAACUAUGUCUAUUCGCCUGUAAGGUCUCUACCUGUCUCGGUUGAGACCUUUUUUUGUUUUAAA